rnacentral:rRNA from 1 species
AAUAUUGCAGAAUGGAGGGAACUCUGAUGCAGCAACACCGCGUGAGUGAACAAGGAGUGCGGAUGGUAUCACUCUGCCAUUGGGCAAGGAUAAAUGACGGUACCCACUGAGGAAGCCCGGGCAAACUACGCGCCAGCAGCCGAGGUAAUACGGAGGGGGCGAGGGUUGUCCGGAAUUACUGGGCGUAAAGGGUACGUAGGCGGCUAUAUUUGUCAGGUGUGAAAUACCAGGGCUUAACACUGGAAUUGCAUUUGAAACGGUGUAGCUUGGGUGCGGGAGAGGAAAGUGGAAUUCCUAGUGUAGCGGUGAAAUGCGUAGAGAUUAGGAGGAGCACCAGUGGCGAGGGCGACUUUCUGGACUGUAACUGACGCUGAGGUACGAAAGCGUGGGUAGCGAA